rnacentral:rRNA from 1 species
GGGGGGGGGGGGGGGCGUGCGUGGGGCGGGGGAGUCGGGCGGACAGGCGCGGGGCUUGCUCCUCGGACGUUAGCGGCGGGCGGGUGAGUCACACGUGGGUAACCUACCUAUAAGACUGGGAUAACUUCGGAAACCGGGGGCUAAUCCCGGAGACUGUUUUACACCGCAUGGUUCAGUGGGGAAGGCCGGUUUUGCGGUACCUUCUCGAGGCAUCCGCCCCGCAUUAGCUAGUUGGUAAGGUAACGGCUUACCAAGGCAACAAUGCGUAGCCGACCUGAGAGGGUGAUCGGCCACACUGGAACUGAGACACGGUCCAGACUCCUACGGGAGGCAGCAGUAGGGAAUCUUCCGCAAUGGGCGAAAGCCUGACGGAGCAACGCCGCGUGAGUGAUGAAGGUCUUCGGAUCGUAAAACUCUGUUAUUAGGGAAGAACAAAUGUGUAAGUAACUAUGCACGUCUUGACGGUACCUAAUCAGAAAGCCACGGCUAACUACGUG